UUUCGGUGAACAAGGCCCGCACUUUAUUUUCCAAAGUAGUUUUUAUACCUUAAGUUAUGCAUAGAGGAUAAUGGGGGAAGGGGUAGAGUCAUGCAGUAAGCCAGGCUUUCUUCCUGCAAACUUAUCAUAUGCAAAAGCUUAGGUGAUUUGCAUUAUCUUCUGGCCCGGAGGCCUGUGAACAUUUUAAGACCUUUUCUUCAGAAAACCUAUUUUUCUCUAAAGGUGAUUGGUCAGGAGCCACCCUCCAAAAGCAUUAGAUAAAGUUGCAUUCCUACAGAGCAAAGGUGUGGUGGGCUAUAACAAGAAAAAGAAUUAACUCAAGGGUCCCAGGUUACAAACAUUAAAGCUACUACUUACACCAACUAUAUUAAUCAAUACACUGCCAGGGACACAGCAGGUAAGGGAUAUGGAAACUUAGCAGCAAACAUUGGCUCAACAAGUGAAAAUCCCUUCACCAAUACAAUUUCUAAUCAAUCUUUUAACUACUCAAAAGAAUCUGUGUUUAGACAGUUUAGAACAUCUCCUGCCUCUCACAGUUGGGAGGCUCUGAACAAUCACAUGUGGCCAGUAAAACCUAUUCAGGCAGGCUAGAGGAUUUCCAAAGGAGUUUGUAGGUUAAACACUGUCACACCCAGGAAUUAUUAACUGGAGCUGUAAGCUAACUCUUUUUUCAGAGAGGUAGUGGGGGACAGCCCCCCGUAAAGUCAGAGGUGUAGGUGGAAGCACAAAGCAGAAAGUAGGCAGACUCUGGUUUUGGGGGUAGAUUGCUCAAGAAUUUCCAGGGAGACUCCUGAGGCUUGAUCCCGCCUUUGCGUAUGCCAAGCCUCCUUCCUCAUGACCUUUGCCAGAGGCGGAGCUCGCUCCCCGCACAUCAGCACCCCACGGAGAGAAUCAGGCUCCCUGUGCCCCUAUGUUGGGUGUGUAGAUUCACACACAGUGGUGUCUCCACGGGAGCCAAGAAUGUUCCUGAGAGAUGAGGUUCACUAGAGCUCUCUUACAGAGCAUAGACCUGUCCAUGUGGUUUUGCCUUCCCCUGUGAGUUGGGUCCCCGAGGUCCGACCCAGCUCCGGGGCAAGAGACCGAGAAAAGUUCUCCAGGAACCGCUUUUCGCCCAGGCUGGAAAACGCUGUGCACAGGAAGUAAGGCAAGCCAGCCUCCUGCAGGGAAAAAGAGGCCUUACUCUGCCUUGAGGAGCAGGCUGCCAGAGUGUGUGAGAGCUGACUUGUGCCUUACUGGCCUCUGGUCCGCCAUUGCCUGUUCAACAAUGCUAGGGCCCAGGCCUUCUUAGAGAAGGGUUUGGGUGCGGAUUUCUACAAACUGCCAAGGGCUACAGCAAUGAGAAUUCUCUCGGCGGUAAGGAAGAGCAUUGUAUGGAUUCUCCAGCUGUUUUCUGAACGACAGCGUCAAAGCUACACAGAGAGAAUCAGGCUCUCUGUGCCCCUAUGUUGGGUACGCAGCUUCUCACACAGAGGAGUCUCUAUAGGAGCCAAGAAAGUCCCUGAGAGAUGAGGUUCACUAGAGCUCUGCUACAGAGCAUAGACCUGUACAUGCCGUUUUGCCUUCCCCUGUGAGUUGGGUCCCCGAGGUCCGAUCCAGCUCCGGGGAAACAGCCCCUGAGAAAAGAUCUCCAGGAACCAAUUUUCGCC
ensembl:lncRNA